GGCCUGAUGGUGUAGCGGUAACACAUCCUCUGAACUUGCGCUUGGUUACAACCAGUCUGAGGAGGUCCCUUGUUUGAAUCAAGGUCAGGCCA